UUACGGCCAAAUCUAGUUGAAGCAUCUGUUCUCGUACGAUCACCGAAAUUAAGAGACGUCGAGCCUGGUCAGUACCGACAUGGGUGACCGUUUGGAAAUACCAGGUGCUGUAAG